CCUGCCCCAUGCUCCAGAAUAGCUCUUGGAAACGGGUGGUAAUGCUGGAUGCUCCAACUUGACGCAUGUCUUGUUGGGAAAGUGUUUAGUGGCAUGGGAUGGGGUCGCGUCCUAUCAGCUUGUAGGCGGGGUAAUGGCCCACCUAGGCUUCGACGGGUAGCCGGCCUGAGAGGGCGGACGGCCACAUUGGGACUGAGAUACGGCCCAGACUCCUACGGGAGGCAGCAGC
rnacentral:rRNA from 1 species